CGCAUCUGUGCAUGCAGCCAUAUCAAUAAGCGGAGGAAAAGAAACUAACAAGGAUUCCCUUAGUAACGGCGAGUGAAGCGGGAAGAGCUCAAAUUUGAAAUCUUCAAGGUUUUACCUUGACGAAUUGUAGUUUAAAGAAGUGUUUUCUGUUGAAGUUUUGGUAAAAGUUCUUUGGAAUAGGACAUCAUAGAGGGUGAGAAUCCCGUAUUUGACCAUUAUUUUCAGCUGUGUGAUACACUUUCAAAGAGUCGGAUUGUUUGGGAAUGCAGUCCAAAAUGGGUGGUAAAUUUCAUCUAAAGCUAAAUAUUGGCGAGAGACCGAUAGCGAACAAGUACCGUGAGGGAAAGAUGAAAAGAACUUUGAAAAGAGAGUUAAACAGUACGUGAAAUUGUCAAAAGGGAAGCGUUUGACACCAGUGUUGUUUUCUCGAAAAUCAAUUAAAAAGAGUUAGAUUUUGUUGUGUAUUGACCUUAACAGCUUGCAUUUCAAUUUUCUUGCUUUUUUUAAUGCACUUUUCGUUUAACAAGUCAACAUCAGUUUCUUUUGUUGUAAAAAGGUCAUUGGAAGGUGGCUUUCUUUUCGGAGAAAGUGUUUAUAGCCUUUGACUCCUGCAAUCGGAGAGACUGAGGUCUGCAGCGUAGAUCCUUCGGGGUUAGAUACAUUUGUGCUAAGUUAUAGCUUUUUAUAGACAACUUGUUGACUAUGAUUAGUCUUGUAGCUUACUCGCUUAUGCUAUUUUACCUACGCUUAGGAUGUUGAUCUGUAGUGCGUGCGC
rnacentral:rRNA from 1 species